rnacentral:rRNA from 1 species
AGCAGCAGCCACGGUAAUACGAAGGGUGCAAGCGUUAAUCGGAAUUACUGGGCGUAAAGCGUGCGUAGGCGGUUUGUUAAGUCUGUUGUGAAAUCCCCGGGCUCAACCUGGGAAUGGCAAUGGAUACUGGCAAGCUAGAGUGUGUCAGAGGAUGGUGGAAUUCCCGGUGUAGCGGUGAAAUGCGUAGAGAUCGGGAGGAACAUCAGUGGCGAAGGCGGCCAUCUGGGACAACACUGACGCUGAGGCACGAAAGCGUGGGGAGCAAACAGGAUUAGAUACCCCCGUAGUCCCUGUCUCUUAUAC